ACGGUGACGUAACGCGUAUGAAACUUGCCCCACACAGGAGGAUAGCCUUGGGAAACUGAGAGUAACCCUCCAUAGUCUUGAGUUGCCGCAUGGUAGCUUAAGUAAAACUUCGGUGGUGUGGGAUAGUCGUGCGUCCGAUUAGGUAGUUGGUAGUGUAAUGGACUACCAAGCCGACGAUCGGUAGCUGGUCUGAGAGGAUGAUCAGCCACACGGGCACUGAGACACGGGCCCGACUCCUACGGGAGGCAGCAGUAAGGAAUAUUGGACAAUGGACGGAAGUCUGAUCCAGCCAUCCCGCGUGGAGGAAUAAGGCCCUAUGGGUUGUAAACUCCUUUAGCAGGGGAAUAAAAAGGUCAUUUAUGAUCAAUUGAAGGUACCCUGAGAAUAAGCACCGGCUAACUCCGUG
rnacentral:rRNA from 1 species